rnacentral:rRNA from 1 species
UACGUAGGGGGGCAAGCGUUGUCCGGAAUUAUUGGGCGUAAAGCGCGCGCAGCCGGCUUCUUAAGUCUGAUGUGAAAGCCCACGGCUCAACCGUGGAGGGUCAUUGGAAACUGGGGAGCUUGAGUGCAGAAGAGGAGAGUGGAAUUCCACGUGUAGCGGUGAAAUGCGUAGAGAUGUGGAGGAACACCAGUGGCGAAAGCGGCUCUCUGGUCUGUAACUGACGCUGAGGCGCGAAAGCGUGGGGAGCAAACAGG